AUGCCUUCAAGAGCUCGCGUCUGGCUGACUGGACAUGCAGGGAGCGUCAAGCUCAAGACUUCAGAGGGCAGGGGGCCAGUGGUUUUGGCAGCACGUCUGACGUCCUGGGUCCAGCUACAAGAGCCUCUCAGAUGGAGAGCCGCAUCCUGGGGAACCAAGUGCAACCCCACAGAUGAGCAUCACAGUGAGUGUGUACAUCAGGUCCAUAGCUCGGACAGGAAGGCAGCUGCGAGCAGUCACUGCAGAGGAAAAGCUGCAUCACGUGUGCGCUGAGGGGAGAUGGGCAGCACCUGGUGGGUCUUCCUGUCCCACCUGCAAGUAGGGGUCCUCCUCAUAGGCCACCUUCAGACCCAGAGUAAGUGACACAGAGACACCUCCGGGGCAACAGGAAAGGUGCCAGCAGCUCGAGGAGGUAUAAGUGGAGAGUGUGUGACUCAGAGGUCACAGUCGUGUUUCUGCUGUUAUUGUGUUAGUCGCUCAGUCAUAUCGGACUCUGUGUGACGCCAUGGACUGUAUCCCGUCAGGUUCCUCUGUCCGUGGAUUUCCCAGGCAGGAAUGCUGGAGUGGGUUGCCAUUUCCUUCUCCAUGGGAUCUUCUGCAUCCAGGGAUCAAAGCCAUGUCUCCUGCAUUGGAAGGCAGGUUCUUUACCACUGAGCCACCUGGGAAGCCCAUCGUGUUUCUAUCAGAGCAUUUAUCUGGUUGCUAGAGAUAAAAACCCGCCAGCGCUGUCUGGGAAUAGUGAAGAAUCGACACUCUUGCCACGUCUGUUAAGUUCCCACCAGAUUACUCUGAACGAGGGGACUGAGUUGCUUGUGAUUGACACAUACAUUUUUCUUUAACAGAUUGGCUGGGAUUGAUAAUUAUUCUUUGCAUUAAAAAAAGAAAAGAAUCCAAAUGCUGGAGGACUCAUCCUCUCUUCAAUCUAAGUUGCUACAGAAUUUCUUAAAGUUAUGAUGUCAAGGGUCUCAUUUAUUGGAGAGUCACAAAUCACUUUCCAUGGGCAGAUGGGACAGGGCACUCGACCUGUGGCUUCAAGAACAGACACCAUCCUCCAAAUGAGGUUAUGAAAAAGGCUUGAAAAUAUCUUUGAUGUGUUUUUAGAUGCAUUUAUUAUCCAAAGUGAGCCAAAUACAGAAUUGUUAUUAAAAAAAUAAUAACCUCAGGAUUAAAAUAUUAUAGUUUAAUGUUUUAAUUAAACUUUAAAUGUUUAAUUAAAUGCUCUAAUGCACAUUAAAUGUUUUAAUGUUUAACAUUAAGAAGCAGAGUUUAGAAU
rnacentral:lncRNA from 1 species